AACGUAGGAGGCAAGCGUUAUCCGGAUUCACUGGGCGUAAAGCGCGUGCAGGCGGUUCGGUAAGUUGGGCGUGAAAUCUCCUGGCUCAACUAGGAGAGGUCGUUCAAUACUACCGGGCUAGAGAGUGGUAGAGGAAGAUGGAAUUCCCGGUGUAGUGGUGAAAUGCGUAGAUAUCGGGAGGAACACCAGUGGCGAAGGCGACUACCUGGCCUGUUCUUGACGCUGAGGCGCGAAAGCUAGGGGAGCAAACGGGG
rnacentral:rRNA from 1 species